ensembl:lncRNA novel transcript
GCCGCUGCAAAUACCAAAAGCUGUCCUCAUUGAGUCAUCCCUCCCAGAGCAGGAAGAGCAGAGAUAAAACAGCAUGUAAGCAUCUCUGCAGUUGCUGUCCCCAGAGCCCACUUCCUGGAUAUUGCCAGCUGCCUGGACCAACCUUUCCGAAAGAUCAGCCAGGUCACAGUGAGGGUCAAAGCAGGAGGCCACUGGAGGCUCCAAGGGCUCUGAAAUGUUGAGAACUUCCCUGCAGGUACCAGCGAAGAGGGCAAGAACACAGCACUACUUCCUUGGAUACUGUUUCCCUCCUCAGAGGGGUUUUCUGAGCUGCCCUGGGUCCUGUGAGGAAGGUAGGAAUUACAUUUCACUAGGGAACAGCCAGGGUCACCUCCUUGCCUGAGGCCCCACCAUCCCAUCAGCCUGGAUGGGCCUGCUCAGCAGCCACACUCGCCCCUAGGCCGAGAAGGGGUGGGGCUCGGUUCCACAGAGUCUCCCAGGGCCUCAGGCAGGUACUCUAGGCUGAUUCCAUCUCCAGGUUCGCAAGUAAAAAAAAAGUCAACUGCCCAAAAGACUUCUCUUAGAACUCACAGCAGGUUAGGCUGGCAGGUGGAGUCUAUGCUCGGGUGGUCCCAUCUGCCAGGCCUGAUGUUCCAGGUGAAGAGAUUGGUGAGCACCAGGUGACCCCACCCAGGUGCACGUGGCUCUGUCGGGUACAGGCAAGUCUCUGCCCACCAAAGGGACACCACAAGGGCCCAGGCAAAGCAGAGCCUUUCUCACUGGGUGUCUGCUGGUGCUGAUGUCACCAAGGAACACACCCCGGGCAGCUUAAACCACAGACGUUUAUUCUUGCAUAGGGCUGGAGGUCACAAGUCUGAGAUCAAGGUGCUGGACAGCCUGGCUCUUCCUGAGGGUGGCUGGCAGGUCCAGUGCAGGCCUCCCACCUUGGCUGGUGGACAGCCAUCUGCUCCCUGGCUCUCCAUAUCACCUUCCCCUUGUGCCUGUCUCUCUCCAGAUCUCCCCUUCCUGUAAAGACACCAGUCCUACUGGAUCAGGGCCCACCCGUGUGACUUCACUUUUACUUGAGUACCUCUCACAGACCCUAACUCCAAAUCAGGUCACUUGCUGAGGUACUGCAUGUGAAGACUUUGACAUUUGAAUUUUGAGGGGGCCACCGUUUAACCUGAACCACCAAGGACAGAGCCAAAGACCCUGGGUGACAGGCCCAGAACAGGACCUGGUGGAGGCUCUUCUUUAGGGGAGAGAGGGAAAUGGGAGCCACCACUGGCAGAGCCUGAAGGCAGGGCAGCCAGAAAGAAGCUGUGGGAGUCCCCACCAUGGAAGACCCUGCCGAGCAUCCUGUGUCUCCUGAAGCAGACCCUGACAUGAGGACUGGGGGCACGUGUUUAUUAAGGGCGAUCCCCGGAAGGAGGAGAUAACCAGGCAGAAGUCCUAGCAGAGUAUGCCCACGCUGGUUAGUGCUGCUGCAAAGAUGAGCCGAAGACCAUGAGAGACCUCCAGGUGGUCCUUCUGGGGAGAAGAAAUGGGUUUUGGCCCCAAAUCCUUCUGCUGCAUUUUUCCCCUAUCCCUGGGAAGCCAUGAGACCUCAAACCUGUGUUCCCAAGGAGGCGAGCUGCUGUUCCCAGGUGAUGAUAUGAUGUGCUUGGGGAAAGUAAGUGGCUGCCAGACAUGGCUGAGAGCUGUUGUCACUGCCGUCAAGUGCAUGUCUCCAAGCCAUAUCACACGGCGUCCCUCGAUGUGAGGCCACAUGGCAAGUGGGCCGUGGAUCUCCCUCUGCCCUUUGCAAGCACGUAAGACAGCAGAUUUUGCAGAUACCUUGUGGCGCAGGGGAAUUUCCUUUGGCCAGGUCUGAAGAAAUAAAGCAGCAGGCACCGAGAACAAAGCCAAGGCUUUCAAAAGACAAGGAGCCAAAAAACUUACUCAAAAUAAAAGUAGUUUUAAAAUGUC